GUGGGGGGGGGGGGGAGGGGGGCGGGUCUCUCUGAGCCAAUAUGAUUGGUGUCCUUGUACAGAGGACAAACUUGGACACAGACACAUGUCUGCAGACAGAGAUGGGGGUGAAGCUUCUGCAAGCCAAGGGACACCAAAGAUUGCCAGGAAACCACCAGAGGCUGGGAGAGAGGUAUGGACCGGAUGUCCCUCGCGGCCACCGAGGGAGCCAGCCUGCUCUCAAAUCUGAUUCAAACGGAUUUAAUCAUUUCACAGUUGCCCAGUGACCACAUUGCUAUUCACUGUGGUAAUGUGCCUCAUUCAGUGUUUGAACCCGAAUCUGCUCGUGAAGAUACAAGACGGAGGCUUUUUUUCUUUUUUCUUUUAGAGAGCGAGAGAGGAAAAAAACCACAGGCCUUCCCAUGGAGCCCCAGUCUUGCCCGGGAAGAGGCUGGACACUGGAAUCAAACUGUGGAACGGGGGUGUGCCAGUGGCCAGAGCUGGGGGAGCUGCUUAAAAACAUCUUCUUUGGGGCGCCUGGGUGGCGCAGUCGGUUCAGCGUCCGACUUCAGCCAGGUCAUGAUCUCACGGUCCGUGAGUUCAAGCCCCGCGUCAGGCUCUGGGCUGACGGCUCAGAGCCUGGAGCCUGUUUCCGAUUCUGUGUCUCGCUCUCUCUCUGCCCCUCCCCCGUUCAUGCUCUGUCUCUCUCUGUCCCCAAAAUAAAUAAAAACGUUGAAAA
rnacentral:lncRNA from 1 species